GUGAGGAAUAUUGGUCAAUGGUCGGAAGUCUGAACCAGCCAUGCCGCGUGCAGGAAGAAGGCGCUACGCGUUGUAAACUGCUUUUAACCGGGAAGAAACCCCAGGACGUGUCCUGGGUUGACGGUACCGGAGGAAUAAGCACCGGCUAACUUCGUGCCAGCAGCCGCGGUAAUACGAAGGGUGCAAGCGUUAUCCGGAUUCAUUGGGUUUAAAGGGUGCGUAGGCGGAGCGUUAAGUCAGUGGUGAAAUCCUGCAGCUUAACUGUAGACUUGCCAUUGAUACUGGCGCUCUUGAGUGCGCUUGAAGUGGGCGGAAUGUGCCGUGUAGCGGUGAAAUGCUUAGAUAUGGCACAGAACACCAAUUGCGAAGGCAGCUCACUAAGGCGAUACUGACGCUGAGGCACGAAAGCGUGGGGAUCGAACAGGAUUAGAUACCCUGGUAGUCC
rnacentral:rRNA from 1 species